UGUAAUAUCUAGCUUAAACCACGCCAG
rnacentral:sRNA from 1 species